CAAUGUGAACGUUACCAAUCUGUUGCCUCGGCGGGAUUCUCUUGCCCCGGGCGCGUCGCAGCCCCGGAUCCCAUGGCGCCCGCCGGAGGACCAACUCCAAACUCUUUUUUUCUCUCCGUCGCGGCUCCCGUCGCGGCUCUGUUUUAUUUUUGCUCUGAGCCUUUCUCGGCGACCCUAGCGGGCGUCUCGAAAAUGAAUCAAAACUUUCAACAACGGAUCUCUUGGUUCUGGCAUCGAUGAAGAACGCAGCGAAAUGCGAUAAGUAAUGUGAAUUGCAGAAUUCAGUGAAUCAUCGAAUCUUUGAACGCACAUUGCGCCCGCCAGUAUUCUGGCGGGCAUGCCUGUCCGAGCGUCAUUUCAACCCUCGAACCCCUCCGGGGGGUCGGCGUUGGGGAUCGGCCCCUCACCGGGCCGCCCCCGAAAUACAGUGGCGGUCUCGCCGCAGCCUCUCCUGCGCAGUAGUUUGCACACUCGCACCGGGAGCGCGGCGCGGCCACAGCCGUAAAACACCCCAAACUUCUGAAAUGUUGACCUCGGAUCAGGUAGGAAUACCCGCUGAACUUAAGCAUAUCAU
rnacentral:rRNA from 1 species